AGUUCGGUCCCUAUCUGUUGUGAUCGUUAGAAGCUUGAGAGGACCUGACUCUAGUACGAGAGGACCGAGUUGGACAAACCUCUAGUGUACCGGUUGUAGUGCCAACUGCACCGCCGGGUAGCUACGUUUGGAAGAGAUAAGCACUGAAAGCAUCUAAGUGCGAAGCUCACCUCAAGAUGAGGCUUCUUUUAAGGGACGUUCAAGACUAGGACGUUGAUAGGCUGUAGGUGUAAAGACAGAAAUGUCAAAGCUGAGCAGUACUAAUUACCCGUAACUUCCUCA
rnacentral:rRNA from 1 species